rnacentral:rRNA from 1 species
GGACCAAGGAGUCUAGCAUGUGCGCGAGUCAUUGGGACUAGCGAAACCUAAAGGCGUAAUGAAAGUAAAGGCUCGCCUUGCGCGAGCCGAGGGAAGAUGGGCCGCGUCACGACGCGGCCUCGCAUUCCCGGGGCGUCUCGUUCUCAUUGCGAGAAGAGGCGCACCCAGAGCGUACACGCUGGGACCCGAAAGAUGGUGAACUAUGCCUGGUCAGGACGAAGUCAGGGGAAACCCUGAUGGAGGUCCGUAGCGAUUCUGACGUGCAAAUCGAUCGUCGGAACUGGGUAUAGGGGCGAAAGACUAAUCGAACCAUCUAGUAGCUGGUUCCCUCCGAAGUUUCCCUCAGGAUAGCUGGCGCUCGUUUUGCGAGUCUCAUCCGGUAAAGCGAAUGAUUAGAGGCAUUGGGGUCGAAACGGCCUCAACCUAUUCUCAAACUUUAAAUGGGUGAGAUCUCCGGCUUGCUUAAAGUUGAAGCCGCGAGAUUUCGGAUCAGAGUGCCAAGUGGGCCACUUUUGGUAAGCAGAACUGGCGCUGUGGGAUGAACCAAACGCCGAGUUAAAGCGCCUAAAUCGACGCUUAUGGGAUACCAUGAAAGGCGUUGGUAACUUAGGACAGCAGGACGGUGGCCAUGGAAGUCGGA